rnacentral:rRNA from 1 species
UUUUUUUUGUUUUUAUAAAAAGUAAAACCUGCCCUAUGAUAAAAUUAAAUGGCCGCGAUUAUUAUCGUGCAAAGGUAGCAUAAUAAUUUGUCCUUUAAAUGAGGUCUAGAAUGAAAGGUUUAACGAGAAAAUAACUUUUUUAUUUUAAUUUUUUUGAAUUUUAUUUUUUAGUUAAAAAGCUAAAAUAUAAUUAUGGGACGAUAAGACCCUAUAGAAUUUUAUUUUUUAUAUAAAAAAUAAACUUUAUUUUUAUUUUUAUAUUUUAUAUUAAAAAUUUGGUUGGGGCGACUUUUAUAUUAACUAAACUAUAUUUUUAUAUUAUUCAUUAAUUUAUGAUUUAUUGAUCCUAAAAUUUAGAUUAAAAGAACAAAUUACCUUAGGGAUAACAGCGUAAUUUUCUUGGGGAGUUCUUAUUUAUAAAAAAGUUUGCGA